rnacentral:other from 1 species
ACACAUUAGGAUGAUGUUGUCUCAGGAUGAGGCGAGGACCCGCCCAGGAUGGGCGAUAACGGAUGUACCGCAGGAUGCCGGUCAGGAUAUUUCAGGAUGAAAUAAGGGACACCUCCAGGAAGGAGAGUGAGAGUCGGUUCGGAUGACCGAUGUGUCAGGAUGACUGAAGGAUCUCGCCAGGGUGGCGAAGGGACGCAGGCAAAGGAGUGUCCGGUAAAGGAACGCCGUUAGGAAAAGUUUUCAAGGAUGAGCAGGGAGCACGUUGUGUAGCGGGACUGCUAUAAAACGAAUCGGGGGGUAUCGCUGAGCGGUACCCCCCUCUCUUU